GACGUAGGGAGCGAGCGUUGUCCGGAUUCAUUGGGCGUAAAGAGCUCGUAGGCGGUUUGUUGCGUCGGCUGUGAAAUCCCGAGGCUCAACCUCGGGUCUGCAGUCGAUACGAGCAAACUAGAGUGUUGCAGGGGAGACUGGAAUUCCUGGUGUAGCGGUGAAAUGCGCAGAUAUCAGGAAGAACACCGGUGGCGAAGGCGGGUCUCUGGGCAACAACUGACGCUGAGGAGCGAAAGCGUGGGGAGCGAACAGG
rnacentral:rRNA from 1 species